AAAGGAAUUGACGGGGACCCGCACAAGCGGUGGAUGAUGUGGUUUAAUUCGAUGCAACGCGAAAACCUUACCACCUUUGACAUGUACGGAAUCCUUUAGAGAUAGAGGAGUGCUCGAAAGAGAGCCGUAACACAGGUGCUGCAUGGCUGUCGUCAGCUCGUGUCGUGAGAUGUUCGGGUUAAGUCCCGCAACGAGCGCAACCCUUGCCAUUAGUUACUACGAAAGGGCACUCUAAUGGGACUGCCGGUGACAAACCGGAGGAAGGUGGGGAUGACGUCAAGUCCUCAUGGCCCUUAUAGGUGGGGCUACACACGUCAUACAAUGGCCGGUACAGAGGGUAGCCAACCCGCGAGGGGGAGCCAAUCCCACAAAGCCGGUCGUAGUCCGGAUCGCAGUCUGCAACUCGACUGCGUGAAGUCGGAAUCGCUAGUAAUCGCGGAUCAGCAUGUCGCGGUGAAUACGUUCCCGGGUCUU
rnacentral:rRNA from 1 species